CAUCAUGCAAUAAUAGGAAAAC
rnacentral:miRNA from 1 species